UUCCAGUAUAUCACACACAUCUCUGGAUUAUUGCAGUUAUUACACCUUCAGUGCUGUCUCAGAGAGCUUUGUAAGCCACAAGGGAACAAUGUCUCUGUAUUUUGGAACAAUUUUCAGGAGAAAAUCUUUUUGGUGCUAUAGACUGCUGUCAACCUACAUCACUAAGACACGGGCCAAGCAGGAUCACUGGAUCUUCAAUGGAGUAUACUGCCACUCUUCCCAGCCUGUA